rnacentral:rRNA from 1 species
GACGAACGCUGGCGGCGUGCUUAACACAUGCAAGUCGAACGGAAAGGCCCUGCUUUUGUGGGGUGCUCGAGUGGCGAACGGGUGAGUAACACGUGAGUAACCUGCCCUUGACUUUGAGAUAACUUCAGGAAACUGGGGCUAAUACCGGAUAGGAGCUCCUGCUGCAUGGUGGGGGUUGGAAAGUUUCGGCGGUUGGGGAUGGACUCGCGGCUUAUCAGCUUGUUGGUGGGGUAGUGGCUUACCAAGGCUUUGACGGGUAGCCGGCCUGAGAGGGUGACCGGCCACAUUGGGACUGCGAUACGGCCCAGACUCCUACGGGAGGCAGCAGUGGGGAAUAUUGCACAAUGGGCGGAAGCCUGAUGCAGCAACGCCGCGUGCGGGAUGACGGCCUUCGGGUUGUAAACCGCUUUCGCCUGUGACGAAGCGUGAGUGACGGUAAUGGGUAAAGAAGCACCGGCUAACUACGUG